CUGAGCAUCAUGAAAAACUAACUACUAUAAAUUUUAGAUGUAGUGAUCUGCUACCCAUGCUUAGGUAUAGAGUUUUGAACUCAAUUUAUAAUUUAGUAUUGCCCAGCUAUGCAACCGAAGAGGGGGGUGAAUUGGAUUUUUGAAAUUUUAAAAUUAAUCUAGAACCACAAGGAUUAGUAAUAAAAGGCAAUUUAGUUGAAAUGAGUGAUUUAAGCAAAGUGAAGA
rnacentral:lncRNA from 1 species